GGAGGGCACAUGCAGACCUCUUCGUUUUUCUUUCUUCAUUACCAUUUUUUGUCUUUCGUCGCCAUUUUUCUUUUUUGUCUUCCCACAGCUGCGAAUUCAUUACACACGACGGCCAAAUUAAUUGUGACGGCAUGUUUCCAUGAAAUGAAGAGAAGAGAAUCGUGA
rnacentral:ribozyme from 1 species